GAUGAAGAACGCAGCGAAAUGCGAUAAGUAAUGCGAAUUGCAGAAUUUCCGUGAGUCAUCGAAUCUUUGAACGCACAUUGCGCCCGCCAGCAUUCUGGCGGGCAUGCCUGUCCGAGCGUCAUUUCAACCCUCAGGGUCCCUCCGCCUCGCGCGGUCGGAGCCUGGUGUUGGGGAUCGGCCCGCCCCGCGCGGCGCCGUCCCCCAAAUACAGUGGCGGUCCCGCCGCAGCCUCCCCUGCGCAGUAGUUAUCAACUCGCACUGGAGCGCGGCGCGGCCACGCCGUAAAACCCCCGACUUUUAGAAAGUUGACCUCGGAUCAGGUAGGAAUACCCGCUGAACUUAAGCAUAUCAAUAAGCGGAGGA
rnacentral:misc_RNA from 1 species